AUUGAACGCUGGCGGAAUGCUUUACACAUGCAAGUCGAACGGCAGCACGGACUUCGGUCUGGUGGCGAGUGGCGAACGGGUGAGUAAUGUAUCGGAACGUGCCCAGUCGUGGGGGAUAACGUAGUGAAAAUUACGCUAAUACCGCAUACGAUCUAUGGAUGAAAGCGGGGGAUCGCAAGACCCCGCGCGAUUGGAGCGGCCGAUAUCAGAUUAGGUAGUUGGGGGGGUAAAGGCCCACCAAGGCAACGAUCUGUAGCUGGUCUGAGAGGACGACCAGCCACAAUGGAACUGGGACAAGGUACAGACUCCUACGGGAGGCAGCAGUGGGGAAUUUUGGACAAUGGGCGAAAGCCUGAUCCAGCCAUUCCGCGUGCAGGAUGAAGGCCCUCGGGUUGUAAACUGCUUUUGUACAGAAUGAAAAGGUUUCUACUAAUACUAGGAGCUCAUGACGGUACUGUAAGAAUAAGCACCGGCUAACUACGUGCCAGCCGCCGCGGUAA
rnacentral:rRNA from 1 species